ensembl:lncRNA LINC02055 long intergenic non-protein coding RNA 2055
GGUUCCGGCCCGCGCCUCUCCCUCCACACCUCCCCACAAGCUGAGGGAGCCGGCUGCGGCCUUCGCCAGCCCAGAAAGGGGCUCCUACAGUGCAGUGGCGGGCUGAAGGGCUGCUCAAGCGCCGCCAAAGUGGGAGCCCAGGCAGAGGAGGCGCCCAGAGCGAGCGAGGGCUGUGAGGACUGCCAGCACGCUGUCACCUCUCACUCAUAUAGAUUGCCAAUCUAUUUGUGAACCAGGUUUGCUGGAGUUUGGAUUUACUACUGAGUCAUAUUUGGAGCAUGCUGGAAUCUUACAACUGAGAUUACCGAGUCAGAAACUUGCAAACAUGAGUAACAUGGCCCUGCUCUGGAGACUACUGGGAACACAAACACAGCCAUUUAAGACAUCUACCUGCUUCUCCUUUGCCUUCCAUCAUGACUGAAAGUUGUCUGAGGUCUCCCAGCCACGUGUCCUGUACAGCCUGUGGAACUACUUUAAAGAAGAAUCAGAAAAUGGAGACUGGGAUUGGAAGCAGAGAUCCGAUGGCCAAAUUACAGUCUGCCACUGAAGCUAACACACCUAUGGAUAACCCAACCUGUAAACUCAAUGUGGAACACAGUUUGAGAAAAGAAGUGAGAAGAUUCAAUUUUGAAGUUGGAUCACUCUCCUACAGGCAAUGAAGACCACAUCACUGAUGGCUCUCCUGCAAUUCUAUUACCUGUUUGAAUGUGAAGAUGGGAUGAAGUAGCAAGAAGGACCUCACAAAAUACCUCCCCCACCACCCCAUCAUCUUGCACUUUCCAGUCUGCAGAACUCCUUGUUCCCUGGCAACAAAUCCCAGAGUAGGGGAUGGUGGAAGAAAAAGCACCUUUAUUUUCCCCCAAGAAAUAACAGUUGAAUUCAGUGAAGGCUGUUUUUCCUUUCCCAAAAUAACACCAGAAGCAACUAUUCUGAAGAUCCUUUUAACAGGCAAUGAAUAUGCUUCAUGAAGGCACUUUGAUCCCCAGAGAGUCCUGUCUGAGUUGAAUUUCUUGGAACACAAAGGCACGGAUUCUGCCCUCAAGUCGGUCAGGAUGCAUGAAGAAAGCACGGAUGACAUGGCACUGUGGUGACUGUGACAGACACAAAAUACCAAGAAACUGAGUGUGGAGACACCACCCAGAGAGAGGACAAACUCUGUCCUGGUGGGGCAGAACCAGGUUCUCAGGAGCAUUGACAUCUGAGUUUGUACUUUGUUUGAAGAUGGAGAGAAGUUAGUUGUCUGAUUGGAGGGUGUGGAAAAAGGGUUUGCCUGGAUGAGGGUGACAUAUGUGGAAAGGUGAGCAGUGAUGAGCUCUUGCAGAUUCUUAGGGGCAAGUGAAGAAAAGUCUAGUUCGAAUGGGAGCAGAGUCAGUGCUGGUGAGGGGCUUUUUAAUGUUUUUAUUAUAUGGUUGUUUUCUAUACAUCUUUUAUUUCCAUUUAUUUGAGAUUUUAGCUACUUAAAAAGCCUCUUCCUAAUUUCAAUAGAUUUUCUAAUCUUUCUGGUGAUGUAGCUUUGGUAUUUGAUAGCCCAGACAUAAUCAGAAAUGUAUUUGGUUCUGAGCACUGUUGAUUUUAAACUCCAAUUUGCAUUUUUAUUUAAUUAUAUUUGAUGGCUAUGCCUUCCUUUUUAUAUUGCUGCAUUGCUAUCCAAGCCAAUACUCACCCCUUUCCUGAAUACCUUGGAAUCCAAGUGUAACCUCUAACAGAAAUAAAGAACUUUGGACAAAGCAA